rnacentral:rRNA from 1 species
UACAUUGGGUGCAAACGUUGCUCGGAAUCAUUGGGCGUAAAGCGCGCGUAGGCGGUUACUUAAGUUGGAUGUGAAAGCCCUCGGCUUAACUGAGGAAGUGCAUCCAAAACUGAGUAGCUAGAGUACGAAAGAGGGUCGCGGAAUUCCCGGUGUAGAGGUGAAAUUCGUAGAUAUCGGGAGGAACACCGGUGGCGAAGGCGGCGACCUGGGUCGAGACUGACGCUGAGGCGCGAAAGCGUGGGGAGCAAACAGG